rnacentral:lncRNA from 1 species
GGGGCUUUCUACUGGGCCCACCCAUAACCACAGCCAUACUCUGGACUGGUUAUUACCAAGGGGAUUUCUACUGGGCCCACCCAUAACCACAGCCAUACUCUGGACUGGUUAUUACCAAGGGGCUUUCUACUGGUCCCACCCAUAACCACAGCCAUACUCUGGACUGGUUAUUACCAAGGGGCUUUCUACUGACAUAUCCUGUAUUGUUGUUGCUUUAUCUGAUCACCACUGGGGAUUUAUACUACCUUGUUGCCCAUAGAACAGGGUAAUACUGAACACAUUAUUAAGAAACACUAUCUGACCUCUGAAGUUGCUACAGAUUUUAUUGAGUUAAUGAACACCACCUAUAUUCCACCACCUGUUCUGCCUUCCUCUUGUGGUGAUUUAGUUGAUAACUUUAAUAGCAAAUUAAGGGCAACCAUUGAUGCCAUAGAUCCAGUAACGUUGAAAAAGGACACAUCCAAACGGAGAGGCCCUUGGAUGACUGAGGAAACUAAUAAAUUAAAGAGAAAUUGCAGAAAGACGGAGUGGAAUUGGAUGAAGUCAAAGUUGCAGGUCCAUUAUGAUAUUCUGAGAGAGCAUCAUAUAUAACAAGGCCAUUAGAAAUGAGAGAGCAUCAUAUAUUACAAGGCCAUUAGAAAUGCCAGAUGGGCUCAUUUUACUAACUUGAUCACCAAUAAUCAGAAUAAUUAGAGAGUGCUCUUCUCCACCAUUGAUGGCCUGAUAAAUCCUACCUCCGCAAACCUAUGUGAACUUUCCUCUACAUGUAAAUGUGAUGAGUUUACAGCAUAUUUCAGAGAUAAGAUAUCCAACAUUAGACUGGGUAUCAGUCAAGACCUGAUGAGAAGUCUGAUGAUAUGUGCACUAGCCUACCACACAAAGGCACUAUGGAUUUAUUUUCCCUGGUUGACACAGACAUGGUCAGGAAAGUGACAUCACAACUUGACCUUCCACCUGCCUUCUCCAUCCUAUCCCCACCACCUUCUUCAAAACAGUUUUUAAUGGCAUAUCUGAAGAAGUGCAAGCUAUUGUUAAUCACUCCCUGUUUAUGGGAACUUUCCCCACUGCACUAAAAACUGAUAUGGUGAAACCCCUUCUGAAGAAAAGGAUUCUAGAUUCUUCAGCUCUUAGAAGUUAUCAGUCUCCAACCUCUUAAGCAGAAUUCUAUUAGUUGGUGUUCCAACAGCUAAAUUAGAUUCUAGAUUCCUCAGCUCUUAGAAGUUAUCAGUCUCCAACCUCUUAAGCAGAAUUCUAUUAGUUGGUGUUCCAACAGCUAAAUUAGAUUCUAGAUUCCUCAGCUCUUAGAAGUUAUCAGUCUCCAACCUCUUAAGCAGAAUUCUAUUAGUUGGUGUUCCAACAGCUAAAUUAUUACCUCAAAUGAAGUUAGAGCACUGAUUAUGCUUUUGAAUCCCAAGGAGCACCAUUUUGUUUCUCUCCGUCACCCACGCUCACUUUAAACAUUUGGAUGAUAGUUAUAUAAAAGACAUAAUUAUAUCACAGACCCGAUUUGCCCUAACGGAAAAUGACAUGAAAAGCACACAUUUGUAAAUCCCAAACUCUAAAAGUAAUUGUAAAGGUAGAUGCAAAUGAUUUGUGACAUUGUGGUUUCAAUAAAGAAUGUAAACAAGAUGCUGUGUUUUUAUUUACAGUAAUGAUGGACAACUGGAGUCAUUUUGAAAAGUUUUUCACAAGUGUACUGUAGUACUGCAGCAGGUGUAGUACUGUAGUACUGUAAUACUGUAGCAGGUGUAGUACUGUAGUACUGUAGCAGGUGUAGUACUGUAGUACUGUAGCAGGUGUAGUACUGUGGUACUGUAGCAGGUGUAGUACUGUAGCAGGUGUAGUACUGUAGCAGGUGUAGUACUGUAGCAGGUGUAGUCCAUCAAACAAUGUUUCCUAUUAGCAGGACAAUAGACUCUUCAUAGCCCAACUGUUGUAAUUGUGAAAAUCCCCAAAUUUGC